GUGUAGUAUAUUAUGUUAUUGGAAAUAGAUGUAUCAAGAUGCUAAUGGUUUUUAUUCCAUGUUUGUGUAAGUCAUUUUUGAUUUCUAAAUUUUCAAAGAUGAUCAGUUAUUACUUUUGUGAUUUAAAAAACUAACAAACAUAUUUAAAAAUUAUCUUUUUCUUUCAUUAUCAUCCAAUUUAGAUCAUUCAGAAAAUACAAAAGCUGUAAGGAGCUGUGUGUUCAGGCUUUCUUCAUGUUGCGCAAGGAAUUCAAUUUUAGCCCAGAUCAUAAUAAACAAGUUGUACUACAGGGGGAAGUUGAAAAUGCAUGAGAGAACCUCAAUAGUUGAUACCAUAGGAUUUCUGAAAAGAGCCCUAUGGAGAGAAUGGGCUUUAAUAGGAAGAACACUUUCUCCCCUGGAGGAAAAAGCUGCAUGUAAACCCUGGUAGUUUGUAGGUGUGGCAACGGACAGGUGAGAGCAUCCUCAGCUUAUGGCUUGCAGUACUCAGUUAAUACAAGAUCACUUCCUGAAUAAGGGUUGGGCGAGAAGGCUGGAGGGUUGCUGAGAUUGCAGCAGUAUUGAUUUCAGUCUUUGUGAAGAGGGGAGGGAGAACUGACCAUCGAGAGUGAACUGCAGUUGUGAAUGAUGAACGUGGAUUAACUGUGACAUCAAUCUUCUCAGUUGUAUAAUUUCCCAUAAGGAGAACUGGGAGCUUGAUAAGUGGGUACAAAGGAAACAUAAAAAACCAAGGAGUUUGGGGUAUUUACAAAUGCAUGAUUUAAAUGAUGGGCUAGCUGGGUGAAAAAGAAGGAAUGGCAAUGUUUUCUUGCAAAGAAAGAAAGCAGAAGGGUUAAGAACGAAGUUCUCUCUACGAGAUUGAACCUCAGUUCUGUGGAGGUCAUUGUAUGUAGGAUGGAAUGAUGGGAAGCUGUGGCUGAAAAGUUGAAUAUUUUGAUUUGUAAUUUAGACCAGAAGCAGUCCAGGGUGGGAUGGUAGGGGAGGGUGGUUGUGAUAGAAUAAACAGAAGUUAAUUUUAGUCUAGGAAGUCAUUAAAUCUGCAAGUAAGUUUGUCAGGGCAACUUCAUAUGGGUGCUGAGGCAGCCCGGAAUUACAGUCAGAGAUGCAGAGGAAGGCUACAGCCACACGGAGGCAUCUUCAUCAACUGACGAAUGUCUCGGAGGGCUGGAGAUGACAGCAAUAGGGAGGUUGAGAAGGGGCAGUGCAGGGUGGUCCUACGCUCAAAGAAACCAAACACUUUAUAGAGAAAGAGCAAUGGGAUAAAAAGCACAGAAAAUUCACAAAGCAAGAAUUAUGUUCCUACUUUCUGACCUUAGAAAAAAGAACAAAAGUGCUAAAGAGAAAUGUUAUCUUCAGAGAUCCAUAGGUUUUCUGUAAGACAAGGGAAAUGGAGGGACUGUUGUGGAAAAGGGUUGAAGAUGUAGCCAAAUGGCUGAUGACUAAGAAGGCCCAGAGGGCAUUGAGUCAGGUUAGGGAGAGGGGGAGAAAUGUAGGUUUGUUCAGGAAACACAGGGACAACAGUAAGGGAUAGGCUACAUGAGGUCUUCUCUCUUGGAAGACACUGGUAUCCGGCCUGACACUUGCUCUCUGGCCUGGGAGAGGUUUCUGUUCUAGGGGUCCACGGCCUUUUCUGUGGGUCCAGUGAUGCUGACAGCUGCCACAGGUGAAGCCACAGUGAUGGGGCCCAGCCCUGUGUUGGAGGGGUGUUGACUGGGAAAGAGGCUUACUGAUUGAUACUGUGUUUUUCUCACUUUUCAUCUACCAGUCCACCUGUGUCCAUGAGGCUCAUGAUCUUGACAGUCUUGUAGAGUUGGGAAGGGAGUGCUUGGUGUUUUAUUAAUGAACAAAGUCCACCUAAGAUUUACUCACUAGUGAUGUUUACUUUUUUUGUUUUGUUUUUCUGAGACAGAGCCUCACUCUGUCACCCAGCCUGGAGUGCAGUGGCGUGAUCUCAACUCACUGCAACCUCUGCCCCCACGUUCAAGCAAUGCUCUUGCCUCAGUCUCCCAAAUAGCUGGGAUUAUAGGUACCCACAACCAUGCCCAGCUAAUUUUUUAUUUUUAGUAGAGAUGGGGUUUCACCAUCUUGGCCAGGUUGGUCUUGAACUUCUAACCUCGGCCUCCCAAAGUGCUAGGAUUAUAGGCGUGAGCCACCGCGCCUGACCAAUGUUGACUUUUUAAAAGAAUGAAAUUUCCAUUUUUAUAGUCACUCAAAGCAAUUCCUCAGCAAGGUCCUGGUAAAUGGAGGCUUCCCAGACUGUUUCAGAUAGCAGCACUACAGAGCCUACAUCACUGAUGAACCAUUCUCUGUGAGUAAAGCACUGGAUUUGGAAGCAGAUUUAGAGAUGGUUCUCUUGCACAUUCCUUUUCUCUACGAAGUUACAGUCCAUCAUUCGUAUCAUUCAUUUGGCUUGCCUUGCCUCCAGAAAACUU
ensembl:lncRNA